rnacentral:rRNA from 1 species
GUGAGGAAUAUUGCGCAAUGGAGGCAACUCUGACGCAGCCAUGCCGCGUGAAGGAUUGACGGCCCUAUGGGUUGUAAACUUCUUUUGUAUAGGAAUAAACCCUCGUUCGUGAACGAGGCUGAAGGUACUAUAAGAAUAAGCACCGGCUAACUCCGUGCCAGCAGCCGCGGUAAUACGGAGGGUGCAAGCGUUAUCCGGAUUUAUUGGGUUUAAAGGGUCCGUAGGCGGAUCGUUAAGUCAGUGGUGAAAUCCUACCGCUCAACGGUAGAACUGCCAUUGAUACUGGCGAUCUUGAGUAUGUAUGAAGUUGGCGGAAUGUGUGGUGUAGCGGUGAAAUGCUUAGAUAUCACACAGAACACCGAUUGCGAAGGCAGCUGACUAAUACACAACUGACGCUGAGGGACGAAAGUGUGGGGAUCAAACAGGAUUAGAUACCCGUGUAGUCC